rnacentral:lncRNA from 1 species
UUGAAGUUCAGAGUCAGGAAACAUAAAUUCUCCCUUCCUCUCUCUCACGCCACCACCCCCUUCAUUUCCCUAGCUACCAUCAUCAAAUCAACUCUAAAUUAACAUGCAAUUUCAGAAAUGGAAUCUCCAUGAGAAACCAAAGCAAGAAAGCUACACUUCUUUCUUCUCUUCCCUCUUGGCCGAAAAUGUAUCUUCCAUGGUCAAGUCUUGUUUUUUCUCAAAUUGAAGCUUGGGAGUUGGGAGUACGAAUUGAACGAGAAAUUGGGAAGGAUUAAGCCUUUGGGUGCAUAGAAAAUAAGGUAUGGUUAGUGAUUCAUACUUCUCUUUCCAAUUUGAGAUUAAACCCUAACACCCAAUCCUCAUCUAUUCCUUAUUUGAUGUUGCAUGUGUGUUUAUACUCGUGUGGAGAACGUGAAACAUUGUAAGAAACAUGGAUUUCAAUAGUCAUGAGACCAUGGGUUUGAUUAUUCCAUGUUUUGGAGGAGAUUAAGUGAUCUUCGUAUUCAAGGACAGACCUACACUAAAAAGGUGGUUGUUCCCUCUCUUUAAAUCUGUUUCGUAUGGGGUUUGUUUCUACUGUUAGCUAACGAACCUACGGUCGUUUCGACACCAAUUUCAUGAAUUUUGCAGCAGUAUUGAGUUCAGGAGAAGCAUCUGAAGUUCAGGGUCUGAUGCAGAAUUUUGGGCUACGGGUUUGAAGUGUUGUGGCUGCAAUUUCUGUUUUUCAGCAAACUCCGGAUGUGUCAAUGGUACUGUUAAAGCGUCAAAUUCAGGUGGGUUCCUUUAAGUAAACUCUCACAUUAAUAGAGUAGUUCCUUAGUUUUUCCCAAAUUUAACUAUGCAUGUUAACAUUAGGAAAGUUACGUUACUUUAGGAAUAAUUCAUGAAAUCAUCUUAAUAAUUAAAUGGACAAACCCUUUACAUGUUUGAUUGGACUGGAAUCUAUGGAAUUUGGAACGAACAAUGAAAUUACAUAAGUUGAAAUUGUACUGAUAAUGUUAUAAAAUUAUGCAGGUCUACUGAUUUGAACUAGUUCAUGCACUACUUGAAUCGAUGCAUACUUCCCUUGAUCUGAAAAUACGCAUUUAUGGGUUUAUGAACCGGUGUGUGCUAAUUAGCAUGAAUCAGUGCAUAGACUCCAAGGAUGUUCUUAAAAACCUGGGAAAAAUGUGUCGAUACAACACAUGAAUAUACUGGUUCAAACUGCGAUCUGUGAGGAUUUUGCAUCGGUGCAAUCACUAUUGAACCGAUGCAUGGAACCAGAACUUGUAUUUUGAAAACAUGGGCUUGAUGCAUCGGUGCAAGGGUUAUUGAAUCGGUGUAAACUUGUAUUUUCAUGAAACUUAAGACUGGAAUGUAUCGGGCAAAGCUAUUUGAAUCGGUACAUCUUAGUACUUCUUUGAAAGACCUUUUGUCUUAUGUAUGAGAGGUUAUAACGACUAUUUAUUUCAACUAAAAGUCCUCCGUUAUGGAAAUUAUUUUAUAAACACAAUAAGUGACUAAAUUCCACGAUUACGGACUUUCAUACAGGUAUUAAAAUUAGUAGACAUAGGAAUUGAAUCAGGAUAUUCAGGAUAGUUAGAAUGGCCCCGGGAAGGUUUUCUUUUCUUUGGGUAGGAAAACAAUCAGGUUCAUGAUUAGAUAUUAGGAUUAUGAAUUACUAUUUGUCAAGUUGCUUGGUCAUUAACACCAUGUUAGGGGAUUCAAUCAGAAUCCAAAAUCUUGUAAUAAGAACUGUAAGCUCAUGUUGUAUUCCGACGUAUAUUAUUAUCGGUAAUGUUGGAUAUUUGUGUGUUGGCCUCAUUUUGCUAAAACAAAUAUACAAGCAAGAUGUUGGACCAAAUGUUUCAACAUGUUAGGUACAAAAGAUGUUGGACUAAAUGUUGUAACAUGUUUGGGUACGACAGUCAGAUUGCCCAAAUCUCGCGCAUUUAUUACACGUAUCUGCUAUAUAUGGAAAUCCACUCUAC